AUAUGCUAAAAAAGCGGAACAUUUUGAAAAUUUAGUAGAAAGUUAUAAGCUGAAGCGCCUGAAAGGUAUUUUUGAAAGGGGCUGGAGCUGGACGAAGGUAUAAAACUACAGAAAAGAUAAGAAAAAUGCAAAAAGAGAAAUAAUUAUGAAGAAUUUGAAAAUUUAGCAGAAAAUUAUUUGCUGGAGUUUCAAAAGGCCUGAAUAAAAGUACAGAAAAGAUAAGAAAAAUGCAAAAGUACUGGCAGUUGGAAGGUACUGCUGUGAAAGGUAUUUUUGAAAGGACCUGGAGCAAGAUGAAGGCAGAAAACAGAAGAAAAGAGAAGAAAAGAAGAAGAAAAAUGCAAAACAAUAAGGGAAAAUUUUCAGAAAGAUGAGCUGCAGGAAAAUGUGAAAAUUUAGCAGAAAAC